GACGAACGCUGUCGGCGUGCUUAACACAUGCAAGUCGAACGGAAAGGCCCUGCUUUUGUGGGGUGCUCGAGUGGCGAACGGGUGAGUAACACGUGAGUAACCUGCCCUUGACUUUGGGAUAACUUCAGGAAACUGGGGCUAAUACCGGAUAGGAGCUCCUGCUGCAUGGUGGGGGUUGGAAAGUUUCGGCGGUUGGGGAUGGACUCGCGGCUUAUCAGCUUGUUGGUGGGGUAGUGGCUUACCAAGGCUUUGACGGGUAGCCGGCCUGAGAGGGUGACCGGCCGCAUUGGGACUGAGAUACGGCCCAGACUCCUACGGGAGGCAGCAGUGGGGAAUAUUGCACAAUGGGCGGAAGCCUGAUGCAACAACGCCGCGUGCGGGAUGACGGCCUUCGGGUUGUAAACCGCUUUCGCCUGUGACGAAGCGUGAGUGACGGUAAUGGGUAAAGAAGCACCGGCUAACUACGUGCCAGCAGCCGCGGUGAUACGUAGGGUGCGAGCGUUGUCCGGAUUUAUUGGGCGAAAAGGGCUCGUAGGUGGUUGAUCGCGUCGGAAGUGUAAUCUUGGGGCUUAACCCCUGAGCGUGCUUUCGAUACGGGUUGACUUGAGGAAGGUAGGGGAGAAUGGAAUUCCUGGUGGAGCGGUGGAAUGCGCAGAUAUCAGGAGGAACACCAGUGGCGAAGGCGGUUCUCUGGGCCUUUCCUGACGCUGAGGAGCGAAAGCGUGGGGAGCGAACAGGCUUAGAUACCCUGGUAGUCCACGCUGUAAACGGUGGGUACUAGGUGUGGGGUCCAUUCCACGGGUUCCGUGCCGUAGCUAACGCUUUAAGUACCCCGCCUGGGGAGUACGGCCGCAAGGCUAAAACUCAAAGGAAUUGACGGGGCCCCGCACAAGCGGCGGAGCAUGCGGAUUAAUUCGAUGCAACGCGUAGAACCUUACCUGGGUUUGACAUGGAUCGGGAGUGCUCAGAGAUGGGUGUGCCUCUUUUGGGGUCGGUUCACAGGUGGUGCGUGGCUGUCGUCAGCUCGUGUCGUGAGAUGUUGGGUUAAGUCCCGCAACGAGCGCAACCCUUGUUCACUGUUGCCAGCACGUUAUGGUGGGGACUCAGUGGAGACCGCCGGGGUCAACUCGGAGGAAGGUGGGGAUGACGUCAAGUCAUCAUGCCCCUUAUGUCCAGGGCUUCACGCAUGCUACAAUGGCUGGUACAGAGAGUGGCGAGCCUGUGAGGGUGAGCGAAUCUCGGAAAGCCGGUCUCAGUUCGGAUUGGGGUCUGCAACUCGACCUCAUGAGGUCGGAGUCGCUAGUAAUCGCAGAUCAGCAACGCUGCGGUGAAUACGUUCCCGGGGCU
rnacentral:rRNA from 1 species